CAGGAGCUGUUAUUCUAGAUGCUUGUCAGUUAUUUUCAGGAGCUGUUAUUCUAGAUGUUUGUCAGUUAUUUUCAGUUGCUGUUAUUCUAGAUGUUUGUCAAUUAUUUUCAGGAACUGUUAUUCUAGAUUUUGU